GCUCUGCGUGCCCCCGGGGCACCUUGCUGCAAGGCGGAUGAGCGCCGUUACAGGGCCGGUGCGCGGCUCCGUACUUAGGCGUCAGCUCCUGCUCGGAGCUGCCUGGCAAGAGGAGGGUUGAUGGGAGCACAGCGGUACCCGGGCGGCUGCGUUAGCUCCCCGCCAGAGCAAGCGCCACAGCGUCUGAGGGGGGAGCGACGUGGGGAGAGAACGAACGCGGUUAGGUCUCGGUGGCGAGCACGGCUAUGGCGGGGGCUGGGUGCUAGAGGAAUCCUUCCCCAGGAUGGGUUUUUCUUUCUGGCUGUAUGAUAUUGCCUCUAACGGGAUGCAGCACAGCUGUUGAAUGAGUCCACGAGCUUUUGGAAAAAAUCCUGACAGUAGUUUUGGAUUUCACUGAACUGUUCCACAAGUGGAAAGUGGAUUACACUUUGCGGGAGCCUUAAUUCAGUGGCAAAUAUAAC